rnacentral:tRNA from 1 species
GGGAAGGUAGCUCAGUGGUAGAGUGCUUGUCUUGCAUGCAUGAGGCCCUGGGUUCGAUUCCUCAGGCUCA